ACAAUUUUUAAGCUGGACUAAAGAUCAUGAGCACUUAAAACUUGUUUAUGCUUUCCUUCUUUAAAUCAAGACCACACUUUGUCUUCAUAAUUUUAGUGAUGAAUUUUGAGUUUUAGUACUGAAAAGAUAAUAUUAUGUGGUGGAGUUGAGAGAUAAUGUUGAAUUUGCAUCUUAAUUUUGUUGAAUCUUUCAAAUAGCUCUGACUUGUUGAUUAUUUUUUAUUUGCAGAAUGCAGGUAUAACAACACCACCAACAGAAUUCAUUUAUGAUGUCUUGAAAGCUUAGCGGGACCAUGAGAGGGCCAAGUUUUCAUUUCCUCCAUUGACGAAUCUCGAAAGUGUUGGCAAUCAAAUUUAAAUGGUGGCCACAAAUCAGCUCGAUUGAUUGAGGCAAGAUGAUCAAGAGUUCUUGAACUAUUGUAGAAGUUUGAAUAUAUUUAGUUUUGUGAAAUAAAUAGGUAGUAGUUAAAUUGCUUUAUGACAGAUUGUUUUUUUUAUCUGUUUAUUUCAAAUUUAUAAAUUUGAAUUAUUUAUUAGCUAAUUUAAUGUU